UCUAAGAAUUUAAGUGAUAAAGAAUCUGCCUGCAAUGCAGGAGACCCAGGUUUGAUCCCUGGGUUUGGAA
rnacentral:tRNA from 1 species